rnacentral:lncRNA from 1 species
AUUUUCCCUAAACAUUUUAACCUUACAAUUUAGCCCAAUCAAUGUUAAACCACUGCCUUUUAUCUAAACAACUUGUAUGCAUCCACAACUCUCCAUGCCACAUCAACAGCUAUACACCUUCUCCUAUCUACAACCACACCACUCCUGACCAUAGUCAACAUUACCUUCACCAUGACCACAUCACUCCUAACCAUCUUUCAUCUCAUGACCACAACAACUUCAUCCACAUAUCCCAUUUUUGAAUCCCAUAUCCUCUGACCAUUAGAUCCACAUCUGCACAACCUACACACUAUCACCACUACCACCGUUCCAAAAACUUUUUCAUAUUGUUUGACAAAUUUUUAUGCGUCCACAUCUACCAAUCAACUCCAAUCAAAUAUACAUAAUCAUAAAACUAGUUGACCAUAAACACAAAUAAAUU